UACGAAGGGGGCUAGCGUUGUUCGGAAUUACUGGGCGUAAAGGGCGCGUAGGCGGCUUGACACGUCAGGUGUGAAAGUCCCGGGCUUAACCUGGGGAUUGCAUUUGAUACGGUGAGGCUAGAGGUCGAGAGAGGGUAGUGGAAUUGUGUGUGUAGAGGUGAAAUUCGUAGAUAUACACAAGAACACCGGUGGCGAAGGCGGCUACCUGGCUCGAAACUGACGCUAAGGCGCGAAAGCGUGGGGAGCAAACAGG
rnacentral:rRNA from 1 species